UUGUGAUUAUAAAAGCUGGACUAUAACUAUCUAUAAAGUUUUCUCUUGAAGAAAAUAUGUAAUAAACCCUAUAAUAAUGACAUAUUGAUAUUCUCUUUAGCUGUGUUUCCACAAAUCUAUGACUUCACUACACAAAUGAGAUAUUUAUACAAAUUGGUAGUCAUCUGUUUUCUCUUUUAAUGUGCAUUCACCCAUUUCAUAGAGGAUUCUGUGUCUUGCAAAUUCUGUGACUUGUUAUAGGCAAAUAGAAUGUAUGCACAAGUAAACUGUGGCAAUUUAAAUGGUAUAAGGGCUACCUCAUAAUUUGUUAUAAUUUCUCUUUCUGGCCAUUGUUAAUCUGAACACAUUUGUUAUAUUGAGCUCCUAUAGGUCAUGAGAACCGAAUGGCUAUAAUGAGUCUAGUAUCUAAUGUCUUAGUCCAGUAACUUUGUAAGAUUAAAAUACCAAUUUUAUUUGUGGUGCAUAAAAGAGUAUGAGUAAUGGAUAGUCUAGUUUGAGAAAAGUGCUUGGAGACUUUAAGUGUCAGCAUGUAUGCAGUGUGUAGCAGAACAGACUAAUGGACCAUGUGCCCAGAAGUAACAAUACAGCCCAAACUUCAGGUGUUGUGACAUCUUGAUGUGAGUCCAAAAAUACUGCUGGCUUCUAGCAUGUGAAGAUUACAUUUCAAGCCUUCAGUACUAUAUGAGAAACUAGUUUUCAAAAGAUUACCAAAGAUAUGCUACUAAAAAAAAUUAACGUUUUUAUCUAUUUUCUGUAUUUCUUCAAUUUUUCAUACUAGUCCAUUCUAUAGGAAGCAAUCUCAUUUGACAUGAAAUUUCAUUAUCAAUCUCAGCUUAUUAGUAGAUUCCUUUAUUGUCUGUGUUUAUUAAAAGUAACAUUCUAUUUAUUGUUUCUGAAAAAAUUUACAUCUGAAACUUUUCUGUCAGCACUACAAGAUAUUAAUUAUUGUUUUUAACCAAGCCAUUCUUGUGUCUCAAUGUGUAGUCACACUAUGUUUUCUUUUACAUCCAUUUUUUUUCUUUUUAUAUUUGAACACGGACAUUCAUAACAUACUUUUCAGCUACAUGAAAAUUCAUUGAGCUAUAUUUUCAUUAUUCAUUCAUCUAAUGGUGAGGAUCUAGUCUGAUUAAACGCUCUUUUAAUAUGAAAGACCUGCUGUAAACUGAGGAUAUGCAGGGUUGAAGAUGGAGUCCAUUGGGUGAUGCCCAAGAGUGGUACAGCUAGGUCUCAUGCACCUUUCACAUUUAGCUUUAAGAGAAACCUCCAAACUAAUUUGCAAAGUGUAUUUUAGAAUAACACCAUCUGGGGUCUAACUUGAACAUUCCAUUCCCCUGCCCUGUAAAUUGGAAUUGGGGGUAAUUAAUCUAUCAGGGACAUUGUUUUCUCAAAUUUAAAUUGAGAAUGUAAAAGAAAUUUUAUUGUUAAAAAUUAUGGCUGUGAAAGAAUUUUGGAGCUUGUCACUUUUCAUGUAAAUGUAUGUUAUACUCAUUAUGUGCCGAGCUUAAAUUUUUAGUAACUAUAUAUUCUGUUUCUAAUUCCGAUCUUUGAAUUCAGAAUCCCCCAAUUCUCCUCUCAAAAAAUCUCGCAUGAUUGUCAUGUUCUCUCAUUUUUUCAAAUGAAUUUAAAGCUAGUGAAUAUAUGAGGCUAUAAUUUUAGAUAAAAGCACAAAGCUUUACUGGUAAAAGAUGUUAAUUCUUGCCACUAAGCCAUUUUAUGUAGGUUCCUGCAUAUCCAGUCACAAAGAUGCACCUAUUGCUAUGUUAGAGUUUAAAAGAUUUCAUACACUGUUACAAAGUAUGAACUAAAUAUGUCUGCAAUACCUUGUGAAGUAACACUCACUUAUUCAUGUUUGUUUGUUUGUUUGUUUUUAUUUCGCUGUAUUUUAUUUUAUUUUAUUAUUGCUUUCCCAUAUCUCUUUGUAUUUCAAUAAGAAAGAGAAAGACAGAGUGAGGAAUCAGAAGGGUUAGAUGCUAGGGAGGAUCUAGGAAAACAUAUUGUAUGAAAAUUUUUAUAAUAAAAAAUGUCUUCUGUAAGUUUACUCUAAAUAAAUCUAUAGGACAUC
rnacentral:lncRNA from 1 species